UAUUCUGAUUGACAGACUUGAGUGGGGUUGAGCUCAUAUUCAAUGAUAAAGUCUUUUUUCAGAUUUUCCUAAAGUAAAAUCAUUAUAUCUUAUUUUGAUAUACGUACAACUUUUUAUGAAACACGGACAUCGAAGUCAACGGCCCAAACCGCACAUUAAUUAGAUUUUUUGAUAUAAUUUGAGAUAUUUUAACAUCCUCCGAGUACUGAAUCAUAACUCAUUUAGAUAGAAGAAAAUUAGUCAAGCAAUCCACUCAAUAAAUCCGGGAAAGCACUCGCCAUACUUCUUCGACAAGAUACGGGAUAGUUUGAGUGCUUUAUCAAAACGUCGCUUUACCAUCACCUUUGUUUGGUUUCCCUCCCAUUGCUCGAUAGAGGUUAAUGAGAAGGCAGACUCUCUGGCAAAUUACACAGAAACCGGUGAUACCGGCUUAGCGAGGCCGGCGGCGGCAUGCCUUCUUGACAUGGCUGCUUUUGCCACAUCUAUAACACCGCUUCCAUAUGGCGGGGCAGGGUGCGCUUUUGUGUUUUGGCUUGUUGCAUGUGGCGCACCGCUGCCGCCGCCCUUCAUGGCCGUUUUGGCCCCUUGAGUCUGCUAGAUCGCAACCAGAAGUGCUGGGGUCGCUCCCGAAGGAAACUUCCAACAGGUUAGACCCCAGCACCCUGAUCGCGAAAUUCAGGGCACUUUGAUAAUUGAUCAAUCUUUUCAACAAAUCUGGUUGGCCGGGGGCCGCAUUAGAAAUGCCGACGUUCGCCGGGGCCGCGUUCGAAGGGCCGGCGUUCGCUGGGGCUGCGUUUGCCAGAGCCAGGUUCGCCGGAAUGGCGUUCGCCGGGGCCGCGUUCACCGGGCCUGCCUUCGCCGGAGUGGCAUUUGCAGGCGCGCCAUUUAUUGUUGGGGAGAGCGUUGCCAACACGUCUACACCGCGCAACUUUUUUCACUUGACUUGAAAGGUGGGGGCAAUGGAAGGCGACACGUAUCAGCGUGAAAUCGCUUUCAACGAAUUUUAGUUCGAAGAAACUCUCUUGUCAACUGGAUGAGGAUGAGAAGGGUCGGUGGCUCCACUCGAUUAUCCCAAAGGUAAUAGCCUUCAAGAUGAGUAAAUCCCAACUUCAGCGUCACUGAAGAUUUAUAAGAUCACCAUGUCCCAACUACAGCAUCACUGAAUAUAAAUAAAACUGAUCCAAGAGUCUGGAAAAACCAACAGUGGAAGACUGUUUGUCAGGAACAAAGAUUUCGAAAAAUGCUAUGAGCGAGAUACGAUAUGUGAAAUUUGAGCUGAAUUCAAAACUUUUCAGGGACAAAUUCGUUCGUAAAUAUAAUUUUCUCAAUAUUCUCAAUACCUUCAGAAAAAUUUCACAAUUAUAUAAAAAAUAUUAAACAUUUUGUUGAAAUUAUUAACAGUAAUUUUUUUGUCGAAUCAUUUUUGAGCUCCAUAGUAAAAAAAAAUAUGCGGAUUAAUUUCCAAGGAACUAACACAACACACAAUACAAACUUUUUCGCAACAUUUACCACAAAAUAACGCUCUUAAUAUUUACAAUUUUUUUUUCCAAUUUUUCUAUUUUCAGGAAAUAUUGUUCAGUGGAUCAUGUCUCUGGGUUCCAAAAAUACAUUUCACCAAAUUUUAUAGAAACCUAGCGGGUGUUCAAUAAAAAUUGAGAAUUUUUUCAAUCACAUAUAAAAAAAAUUGUUGUUUUUUUUUCAUCGAUUUCAGUAUUUUUUAUUAAUAACAUAAUGUAUUUUCUUCAAAAAAAUGUCAGUGAAUGUUUGAGUAAGGACCGUGGUCUGAUGUUCGACGCAACUUUGUCGCGAUGCUCUCACAAGAAUGUUGUAUGGCACUUACGUCCAUUUUCCGGAUACAAUUCCGGAUUCUUGUAGUCAGUUGCUUCGUUUCCUUGGCCCUCCAAUUGUUUUAAUACACAAGGGCACUGAGUGAGCCAAAGAAAUCUUCUAUUGGGCGGCACUGGGCCAAGUUUGUAGGGUUACGAUCUUUCGGCACGAACGGUAUCUUUUUCUCCUCAAGGUACGCCAGCGCCUUCUUCGCGUAAUGAAAAGACGCCUUGUCCGGCCAGAAGACGUCCGCGGAUGCUCGUUCAGGAACGGCAGCAGGAUUUUAUCGAGGCACUCUUCUUGAUAGAUUUGUUGGUUUAUUGCCAGACCGCUCGGCUUAAACCAAGGCUUUGAAAUGUCCCGGUCGGAAAUCGCGAUGUACAACAUAACCUUUUUUUUUAAACUUGUGCUUGAACUUGUAUUUCACUUAAGGCGGUGUGGAUGAUUUGUCGCUGGAGCGGACAAUAGCUUUCGUCAUCCAGAACGAAUGACGUCCCGCGGUAUUUUUUGGUCAUCCACCGACACUGUAAUUUAACCGUCUCAAUCUGCUCCUCCGUGUACUACGGCGACCUCGUCUUCUUCGUGCAGACGAUUCCUUCCAUCUUGAGGGUACGAUGGAUCAAUACGUGGGAGCAGCGUCCUUGUUGUCAAACAGCUUCUUUAACGAUGUCUUCCUCUGCUUCGUCAUUAUCGUCACCGGACGACCACUUCCGACCUUCCGCUCUACGUUCAGGCAAGCCAGGAUACGAUAUACCGUACUGACAGGUACAUCUUCUUCCUUUAAAUGUGCCACCGUGAACUUUUUUCCUUGCUGGAAAUGCGUUUCGUAGAACCGUACAAUGCGUUCGCGGAGCACGUGCUGUUUCGACGCCAUCUUUGCUUUGACUAAAUUCAAACUAGCAAAACCAAACACGCCAACUGUUUAUAGGGAGCCCAAAGAGAAAUUUUCUUGGAGCCAGAAAAUUUUACGCUCUUUAUUUGAGUUACUGAAAGGUAUUGAAAACAUUCUCAUUUUUAAUUUAACACCCGUUAUCUAUAAAAUUUGAAAUAUUCUUCUCCUUGUAAGGAAAAUGAGAACGAAGUUUUCACUCAAUCGGAACACAUGCUGGCCAGCUUUCAUCAAAAUGGGAGGAUUAUCAAGAAAUCCAUAAAUAAUAUAGC